AGCUCCUCAUUCACGUUUGCUGCUCUGCCUUUCUGCUGGUCCUGAUGUGGUUGUGAGCCUGCUGACAUUGCCUAUCAAUGAACCUUGAAGAAGCUGGAUUCACGCACUACCUGCCCUUGCCCUUGGCUUUUAUUCAGGCUACAUCUGGGGCCAGCACACUGGAGUUUGAACAGACAAGGAUGCACUGAGUCACAUCAGAAGGCUAGUGCUUGGAGAUCAGUGUGCUGAGACGACAGCAUAGCUGCAAAUAUCCAUGAAGUAUGGUUCCACAGUUUCCAGCCUCUAUUGGGACAUACACAGAGAAUGGUGAUGGUAAUGCCACCUGAGGUUUGUCCUGUGGUGAUUUUACACGUACAUACACAUGUGGAAGGCAGAAGCCUUUCUUCCUUCACCUUCUGCUACCGCAAGCAUGUCAGAUAGACCCUGCUGGGGCACUAUGAGAAAUUAAAUUCAUAUCUCCAACAGAGGAUAAUAAUAAUAAUAAUCAGUAAUCAGUUUUCAUAUCUCAGAAACAGUCUUCAUAGCAGAAACCUCCACCUUCAGACUGGGAAAUACACUAAGGCUUCCAGUCUCCAGAUGUGGAGUGCUCCAAGGGCUGCAGUAGGCACUUAUCUAUUUUAGUAUUUUCUGAACUUGUCUUUUUGCUUAAUGAAACACAACAGAAGUUCCUGUUUGCUGCUCCAGACCCACCCAGCAUCCAGACCUUGUUGAAGAGUUACAGUGCCCUGUUUACCACUUCAGCCCAGGUGAUGGUGGGCUUUGGGUUUCCCACUGCUUCACAGUGAAGGAGCACACUCAGUGUACCACUGGCUAGGACCACUGUCUGUC